UACGUAGGUGGCUAGCGUUGUCCGGAUUUACUGGGCGUAAAGAGCGCGCAGGCGGUCGUUCAAGUCGAGUGUGAAAGCCCCCGGCUCAACUGGGGAGGGUCACUCGAUACUGAUCGACUCGAAGGCAGGAGAGGGAAGCGGAAUUCCCGGUGUAGUGGUGAAAUGCGUAGAUAUGGGAGGAACACCAGUGGCGAAGGCGCUUCUGGCCUGUUCU
rnacentral:rRNA from 1 species